UGGGGAAUCUUCGACAAUGGGGGAAACCCUGAUCUAGCCAUGCCGCGUGAGUGAAGAAGGCCCUAGGGUCGUAAAGCUCUUUCGCCAGGGAUGAUAAUGACAGUACCUGGUAAAGAAACCCCGGCUAACUCCGUGCCAGCAGCCGCGGUAAUACGGAGGGGGUUAGCGUUGUUCGGAAUCACUGGGCGUAAAGGGCGCGUAGGCGGCUGCUUAAGUCGAGGGUGAAAGCCCGGGGCUCAACCUCGGAACGGCCUUCGAGACUGGGCGGCUAGAGAUCGGAAGAGGAGGGUGGAAUACCCAGUGUAGAGGUGAAAUUCGUAGAUAUUGGGUGGAACACCAGUGGCGAAAGCGGCUCUCUGGUCCGGAUCUGACGCUGAGGCGCGAAAGCGUGGGGAGCAAACAGGAUUAGAUACCCCUGUAGUCC
rnacentral:rRNA from 1 species